ACCAGCGGAGGGAUCAUUAUCGAGUUUACAACUCCCAAACCCUUAUGUGAACAUACCUACUGUUGCUUCGGCGGACUCGCCCCGGCGUCCGGACGGCCUCGCGCCGCCCGCGGCCCGGACCCAGGCGGCCGCCGGAGACCCCCAAACUCUGUAUUAUCAGCAUUUUCUGAAUCCGCCGCAAGGCAAAACAAAUGAAUCAAAACUUUCAACAACGGAUCUCUUGGUUCUGGCAUCGAUGAAGAACGCAGCGAAAUGCGAUAAGUAAUGUGAAUUGCAGAAUUCAGUGAAUCAUCGAAUCUUUGAACGCACAUUGCGCCCGCCAGCAUUCUGGCGGGCAUGCCUGUUCGAGCGUCAUUUCAACCCUCGACUUCCCUUUGGGGAAAUCGGCGUUGGGGAACGGCAGCAUACCGCCGGCCCCGAAAUGAAGUGGCGGCCCGUCCGCGGCGACCUCUGCGUAGUAAUCCAACUCGCACCGGAACCCCGACGUGGCCACGCCGUAAAACACCCAACUUCUGAACGUUGACCUCGGAUCAGGUAGGAAUACCCGCUGAACUUAAGCAUAUCAAUAAGCGGAGGAAAAGAAACCAACAGGGAUUGCCCCAGUAACGGCGAGUGAAGCGGCAACAGCUCAAAUUUGAAAUCUGGCCCUUGGGUCCGAGUUGUAAUUUGUAGAGGAUGCUUUUGGCGAGGUGCCUUCCGAGUUCCCUGGAACGGGACGCCAUAGAGGGUGAGAGCCCCGUCUGGUCGGACACCGAGCCUCUGUAAAGCUCCUUCGACGAGUCGAGUAGUUUGGGAAUGCUGCUCAAAAUGGGAGGUAUAUGUCUUCUAAAGCUAAAUAUUGGCCAGAGACCGAUAGCGCACAAGUAGAGUGAUCGAAAGAUGAAAAGCACUUUGAAAAGAGGGUUAAAAAGUACGUGAAAUUGUUGAAAGGGAAGCGCCUAUGACCAGACUUGGGCCCGGUGAAUCAUCCAGCGUUCUCGCUGGUGCACUUUGCCGGGCACAGGCCAGCAUCAGUUUGGCGCGGGGGAAAAAGGCUUUGGGAAUGUGGCUCCCUCGGGAGUGUUAUAGCCCAUUGUGUAAUACCCUGCGCCGGACUGAGGUACGCGCAUUGCAAGGAUGCUGGCGUAAUGGUCAUCAGCGAC
rnacentral:sRNA from 1 species